GAUCCUGGCUCAGGACGAACGCUGGCGGCGUGCCUAAUACAUGCAAGUCGAGCGAAGAAUUUCUGGUGCUUGCACUAGAAAUUCUUAGCGGCGAACGGGUGAGUAACACGUAAAGAACCUGCCUUAUAGACUGGGAUAACUACGGGAAACUGUAGCUAAUACCGGAUAACAACAUUUUCCGCAUGGGAGAUGUUUAAAAGUUGGUGAAGCUAACACUAUAAGAUGGCUUUGCGGAGCAUUAGCUAGUUGGUGGGAUAAAAGCCUACCAAGGCGACGAUGCAUAGCCGACCUGAGAGGGUGAACGGCCACAUUGGGACUGAGACACGGCCCAAACUCCUACGGGAGGCAGCAGUAGGGAAUCUUCCGCAAUGGACGAAAGUCUGACGGAGCAACGCCGCGUGAGUGAAGAAGGAUUUCGGUUCGUAAAGCUCUGUUGUUAGGGAAGAAAGGUUGUGUAGUAACUAUACACAAAACAGACGGUACCUAACCAGAAAGCCACGGCUAACUACGUGCCAGCAGCCGCGGUAAUACGUAGGUGGCAAGCGUUGUCCGGAAUUAUUGGGCGUAAAGCGCGCGCAGGUGGUUUAGAAAGUCUGAUGUGAAAGCCCACGGCUCAACCGUGGAAGGUCAUUGGAAACUGAUAAACUUGAGUGCAGGAGAGAAAAGUGGAAUUCCUAGUGUAGCGGUGAAAUGCGUAGAGAUUAGGAGGAACACCAGUGGCGAAGGCGGCUUUU
rnacentral:rRNA from 1 species